AGGCGGCGGCGCGCACGCGCGUACACAGCCGCGCCUGGCCCGGCGGGCCCCGGAGCGCCUAGCACAAACGCGAACCGCGGGCGAGCUGAAAGAGCGGAGGUGCGCGAGGCCCUCCUGCAGGCGUGCUGGGGCCUGCCGUCAUCCCCGGCCCCGAGUGCUGACUCCUUCCUGAGGACGUUCUUCCCUUGCAAACCAGCCUUACAGACUUGCAUUCUGCGCGGCCAGAGCCAUGGGAUUACAGACUCUGGUUACCCCACCCAGCUUUACACGGAUUCUGGAGAAUUGACCUCAGAUGCUCACAGUUGCAUAGCAAGUCUUUACCCACUUGAACCGUUUCUUCAGAAGAAAAAAAGUCAGAAGGAUUAUACGGGUUAAAAAAAAGGAGAGAGGUCACAAGGAUGGAGAAGCAGAGAUGGAAGGAGUGGGAAUAAGUGUGAUCAGAAUGCAUGGCUUGAAAUUCCCAAAGAAUCAAUAAAAAUAUUAUGUCGGAAAAAGAAGAAAAAAAGCCAAUGGAAACAAGCCAGCAAGCAGCACCCCUCCAUGGCCUCUGCAUCAGCUCCUGCCUUCAGGUUCCUGCCCUGCUAGAGUUCCGGUUCUGACUUUCUUCAGUGAUGAAGAGUGAUCUGGAAGGCAUUGAGAAUUGCUGAAAGGGUUGGUGGGGAGGACUGAAGCUAAAUCGUAAGAAUAAACUCUCUACCGAGCUACAGAGUUCAUCUGAAGAAAAAUGUUGAGUAAUAGGACCAAGUGUUCUGAUUUUCUCGGGUCUGAGCAGUUUCCAUGUAUUUGAGAGAUUUCUUGCUAAAACAGAAAAUGUCUUGGAAAGUCGUGCACCUACAGCUGGCAUCACCAACCUCGAGAACUAGGAAAUGUACAAAAUACAAAAGUAUUGCCUUUGACCACUUCUCCACCUGGAACUCAAGUUUGCUGCAACAAGACUGCCAUUAGCAAAAGGAGAGGAAGCAAAGAGGGAGACAGAAGACAAAGAAAAAGUCAAAACUACACACAGAGACAGACAGAGGACAUUGCUUGCAUCUGUAAGUCAAAAUUCUAGAACAAAUAUCUGCUUGAAACGCCCAAGUCCCUCUCUGCAAGGGAGACAGAAAAUCUGUGUAAAACUGUGUGAUACUCUGCCUUUAAUGAUGCAUUGUUCAAAUCCAAGAGAUACACAAAUCUACUGAGGCAAGUGAAAAGGAAAAAUGAGAAUAGCGCUAUGAUGAAAAGGCUCUGCACUUUUAGGACAUAUGCAUUUCUGUCCCUGCUUUGGUACUAAACUGUCUGUAUUUGUUACUGAAUUUAUCAGAGUUUGUUUCUUAAUUACUAAAGUCAAAAUGCUGAAUGUGAUUUCUCAAAGUUGUCACAAUAAAGAGCUCCACCACUGGAUUUUGAAAAAUUGAAAAAAAAAAAAAAAAAAAAAACCAACUGUGUGAUACUAACAAAAUGGCCUACAAUAACAUCAUAAUAAUUGGCUACAUAAUGGUAAGAUACUACACAGCUCUGUGAUAGAAAUAAUUGCUUAAACAUUACAAAUUUAGACUCUCUGGCUUUGUCAUCAUUUUAAAACAUGCCCCAUUUCUAUUAUUUACCUAGAUUUUUUUUUCUGUUGCUUGUAAUAUUUCUUGAGGAGAAAAAUAAUUAUACAAAGACUCCGGUGUUUGCCAACAAGAAAUGGAUUUUAAUGGAAACCUUUUAAGUAGGACAAACCUUAAUAAGAGCAGUAAUGGACAGUGUGCUCUGAACAACUAACUCUUUAGCCUUCCCUCACAUUUAUUGUGGUUAAAUGAUUUGUGAGCAAAGAAUUUCAAGACAGGGUUUGCAUCUAUUUUUCUUUACUCUCAUUUCUCUUGCACAAUGCUUUUGGAUAAACACAUUAAGACUUUUUAAUUUUGUCUUUAUAUGUUGAACUAUAAAAUGAGAACACUGAUAACAAACCCACGAUACAGUUUUUAACUAAUGAAAAAUAAAAUAAAUAACAAAACACUAAAACAAGAAUUCUGGUUUUCCCUUUCAUAAUGCAGUGUCAGGCCUUGGCCAUGAACAGUCUCAUAGCUCAAUUUCCUAAGACAUAAAUAACUUUAAUGCCUGUACUGAGAACCUCCAAUGAUGUAUCUGCAAACAUUUUAAAAUUCUAAAACAAUAAAUGAGAACCAUAAUUAGGUUAUGUCAUAUGUCAUUUAAUAUUAAAUAUAUAGACAGUUUCCUUUGAUUUUUAUCUAAAAUAAGUCUCUGAAAAUCAGUCUAAAGUCUUUUAAUUUCAUAGUUAUUUUCCACAUGGCAGAUUUUCUUAAAGAUUUAUUUUAGGACUGAGCAAAGUGGUGCAUGCCUGUAAUCCCAGCAUUCGGGGAGGCAGGGGCAGAUGGAUCUCUGUGAGUUCAAGAUCAACCUGGUCUACAAAGUGAGUUCAGGACAGCCUAGGCUACCCAGAGAAACUCUGUCUCGAAAAACAAAAAAAAAAAAAAAAUAAACAAACCAAGUUUUAUUUUUAUUUGUGUGUGUGUAUCUAUGUAUGAGUUUGUGCACAUUAGUGCAAGUGCCUACCUACCAAGACAAGAAAAAGGAAGUCAUCUAAACUGGCAUUAUAGUGGUCGAUAGCCACCCAGUUUGUCCCGGGAAUCAAACACCAGUCCUCUACAAGAGCAAUGAGCACUCUUUCCCACAGAGCCAUCUCUCCACCCAGUGUGACAAAUUUCUAAAUAACAAUUAUUAAUGUUUUCUUGCAGUGACUGUUUCCAGGACUCUUAUUUUCUCUGAAGUUUUCUGAAUUACAUUUAUGUUCCUUUGAAUCCUGGAGAUGUUCUUCUGAGAUUUGCUGUUUGUUUAUUUUAAGCUAUGAUAUUGAAAACGAGAUUCUGUCUAGGGGACAACCAAACAAAAACCAAAUAAAAAGCAGGAGAGUCAUUCCACUUAAAACAACAGCUUUCAAAAACUCUGUUAGAAGCAUGGAGAAGAGAAUGUGUUGAAGGAGAUUUACUUGACAAAUGCUCUGUAUCUACUUUGUGAAAUUACCCAAGUGUCUGAGGACUAGAAAAAUACAGAAAUACCCACUAUGAAGAGGCUCCUUUGUAUCUUCCCCUCCGGCACUUUAGUGUCUGGAUAAUAUAAUAACUCUCUAGAGCUAUGAAUUUAUAGAUUGAAAAUUGCUGAUGCAGGAUAGCCUUGUGAUGAAUCGUGAUACCAGACAAGCGGGAUGUUAUUUUGGCAGCUCCAUAAUAAGGGCUCCUGAGUAGGGGGAAAAAAUUUAUCUCAAGCCUACUCUUCUACAGAAAUUCUGUUUCUCAACUUUAACUGUCUAAACCUAAAUAGGAUUCGCCUUUCUAUUUUUUAAACCUCGCUCAACAAAGUGCAAGCUGAAUUUACAUGCCAACCAGUCUUUGCCUUUUAUCCAUCAACACCUCAGUUGCAGACGGACUACACUGCUGGCUCACUUAAGAGGGAUGAAGCUUCCUGACUUCCUCACACCUCUUCGGCAUGCAUGACUAACAGGAGGUUGUAGUAGGGCAGAUGAUCCAAGGAAGUGGUGACGCCGGGCGCCCUGGCUGACCUUGACAAUCUCUUGCAUUCUCUUCCGAAAGGAUGUCAUUUUAUUAGUUAUACUACACCCUAAUAGAGCUAAUGAG